UACGUAGGGGCUAGCGUUAUCCGGAAUUACUGGGCGUAAAGGGUGCGUAGGUGGUUUCUUAAGUCAGAGGUGAAAGGCUACGGCUCAACCGUAGUAAGCCUUUGAAACUGGGAAACUUGAGUGCAGGAGAGGAGAGUGGAAUUCCUAGUGUAGCGGUGAAAUGCGUAGAUAUUAGGAGGAACACCAGUUGCGAAGGCGGCUCUCUGGACUGUAACUGACACUGAGGCACGAAAGCGUGGGGAGCAAACAGGAUUAGAUACCCGAGUAGUCCCUGAG
rnacentral:rRNA from 1 species